UAAUCUUUAAGAUACUCUAUUAAGAUACCUUCCUCACAUCAACAGAAAUACAAUAUGUUCUCUAUCCCUAUGACUGUAAUGCUAAACCUUUCUACUUGCUCCGUUGUCCCUGCCAAGGUAUGAAUCUAUCACUGAGCAUCUCCACUGGAAAGUCCCUGUGAACUGAUUUUUUUUUCAGGAAGCAGCUCAGGAACAUGAUGCAAGAAAGAAGUACAAGUUGUUCUGGGAGAGGUAUUAUGUAAGUUACAUGUCAUUUUCAUGGCAUGGUAGCCUGUUCUUUUGAUCUGGGGAGACAAGAAACUGAAGUCCUACAUGUAAGGUAUCAGACCUGCCCAACAUCAGGCUGUAGUGCCUUUCCUGAUCUUAAGGUGAUACUUUCAAGAAGGGGUGUGACUUACUUCAGCGGAGAUGAAGAAUUCGCUAUCUAGCUCUAAGUAUGGAUUUGCCAGAAAAAUUAUAUA